rnacentral:rRNA from 1 species
GUAUUACUAAGCGGAGGAAAAGAAAUUAACGAAGAUUGCCUCAGUAGCGGCGAGCGAAGCGGCAAAAGCUCAAGUCAAAUCUGCGACCUCCGGUCGUUGAAUUGUAAUCUAAAGGUUGAGACAAAAGGGGAGGCCGAGGCAUAAGUUGCUUGGAACAGCAGGCCAAAGAGGGUGAUAGUCCCGUAUUUGGCCUCAGCCGAACCGAAUGUCGAAGACCAUAGAGUCGGGUUGUUUGGGAUUGCAGCCCUAAAUGGGAGAUAAACUUCUUCUAAGGCUAAAUAUGGAUGGGAGACCGAUAGCGCACAAGUA